rnacentral:rRNA from 1 species
UAGUAGGUUGGUCAUGCCUCUGGUAUGUACUGGUCUCACUGAUUCCUCCUUCCUGAUGAGCCGUAAUGCCAUUAAUUUGGUGUUGCGGGGAAUUUGGACUGUUACUUUGAAAAAAUUAGAGUGUUUAAAGCAAGCUAACGCUUGAAUACAUUAGCAUGGAAUAAUGAAAUAGGACGUUCGAUCCUAUUUUGUUGGUUUCUAGGAUUGACGUAAUGAUUAAUAGGGAUAGUUGGGGGCAUUAGUAUUCAAUUGUCAGAGGUGAAAUUCUUGGAUUUAUUGAAGACUAACUACUGCGAAAGCAUUUGCCAAGGAUGUUUUCAUUAAUCAAGAACGAAAGUUAGGGGAUCGAAGACGAUCAGAUACCGUCGUAGUCUUAACCAUAAACUAUGCCGA